rnacentral:lncRNA from 10 species
GCCCCUCCCACCUUCCCCCUCCGUCCAGGUUCCACUCUGCAAUUUUGAGAUCUGCCUGUUAACAAAUUGCAAUGACAGCCAUCUGCAGCUAUCCUAUUAUGAGUGCUUUUCAAAUACAUCAUCUUACAUGUGUAUUUCUUCACAUAGCUUAAAUCAGAAAGGCCAGUCAAAUUAAUUGGCCUUGGUGUGUUUCUCAGCGAAUUAGAAAAUCAGGGUCAUCUUGUUCAAAAGGUUCUAUAGGCAAAGCCAGUUUCAUGGACAUGCAAGCUGUACAAUGGUACAGUCGCACUCUUAGAAGGCCUGUUCUGCCAUCACCAUCCUGAAACUCUUCACAAUGACAGUGGCCUGUUAGGAACUGGGCCGCGGCAGGCCAGGGAACAUUACUGCCUGAGCUGUGCCUCAGGUGAGAAAUCAGUGGCAGCAUUAGAUUCUGAUAGGAGCUUCAGUCCUAUAGUGAACUAUGCAUGCGAGAUGUCUAGGUAGCGCACUCCUUAUGAGAAUCUAAUGUCGAUCUGAGAUGGAGCAGUUUCAUCCCCAAGCCAUCACUUGCUACCCCCAGGUCCAUGGAAAAAUUGUCUUCCAUGAAACCAGUCCCUGGUGCCAAAAAGGUUGGGGCCACUCUUUACUUGGGCUGGAAACCUAGUAAUUUUGGCAUAAGCUUACACGACUUCAAUGAUUUGUUUUAAAAUUGCUCAGAAUUGCAAAUGGAAAUAUUUUUUAAGUAUGUUAAACAUAAUAUUAACGAAGAGUAAAGAAGCUAACUAUAAUGACCCCAAG